GAGAGACUGACAGAACAUGUGGUGUGUGCUGUAGGAGCUACUCGUCAUACUGGAAAUCUCAAACACUGGAGGCCAAACACAGCAUGACUGCACAGCGGCUAGUCACUCAGCAGCUCACAACAACUGUGGGACAGGACAGAGCGCUCAAAACUUCACACAAGUCCAUGUGAGGAGUGUUACAGAGGAACAAAACGGCAAACUAAGCGUAUCUGCAGGAUCAGAAUGAGCGCUUCAGAGGAAAUGAUGGCGAUUCUACAGAACGUCUGGACCAAACUGCAGGGUCUUCCUCAAGACCACCCGCUCACGCAGGCGGCGUUUCUCAUCAUGCUGCUGUUCUUCUGAAACACAGAAGCUGCAUCUGAAGUGGCAUAAAGAUGGUAUGCCAUAUAGAGGUGCCAUAAAUGCAUUUACACCGCAGAAAUGCAAAUGCAUAAAUAAUGUUAUAAGAUUAAUGUUUUAAAUAGUAUUUUUGAACAUACAAAUGUUGGGAAAAAUGCAAUACUUUUAAAUAUGAGACCAAACCACCAGUAGGUGGCGGCAAAAGACUGUUUUAAUGAUUGAGUCAUUUACUCAUUCAUUCAACCGAUUCGUUCAAACUGCUGAUUCAUUCAGAAACGAGGCAAGUGACACUGUCUUUAUGAAUGGGUUACUGAAUCAUUGACUCACUCACUCACACAGCAAAACCUGUGUUGCUCGGAGACACAACAGUUCUGCUGUGGCUUUGAUUGGAACUAUUUUUGUUUGCGUAAUUGAGCAAAACCAGUCAAUAUUGUGCCAAAAAUGUAAGUCACUUAAUUUUAACUUCUUGUUUACUGAACUACUACUGUAUAAAAUCAGUGUAACAUUGCAGUCAUGCUGAUAUUCAGAGAAACAUCUUGGUCAUGCAAUGUUGCUUACCUAUAUAUCAUAUAUUAUAUACAGUAUAUUCUACCACAGUAUGCAUCUAUAACUUGCUCUGUGUAAAGUCAUCCAUAUGACUUCUGUGUCUUCUGAAUUCAUACUGACAGAAAUGUGAUUGUUCAUUGAAGAUCUUCCCCAUCACUUUAGCUCUCAAAUCUCAUUUAAGUUCACAUGCAUUCAGAUAUGGCAUGUCAAGAUGUGUCUUUACAGCUUUGACAUCAAUGACUUCAAAUGGUUCUUGUGUGACUUGCUGACAGACCAUAUUUGAAUGCGUGGGUCAAUGACAAAUAAAACUGCCCA
rnacentral:lncRNA from 1 species